rnacentral:rRNA from 1 species
UACGAAGGGGGCUAGCGUUGCUCGGAAUUACUGGGCGUAAAGCGCACGUAGGCGGAUUGUUAAGUCGGGGGUGAAAUCCUGGAGCUCAACUCCAGAACUGCCUUCGAUACUGGCGAUCUCGAGUUCGGGAGAGGUGAGUGGAACUGCGAGUGUAGAGGUGAAAUUCGUAGAUAUUCGCAAGAACACCAGUGGCGAAGGCGGCUCACUGGCCCGGAACUGACGCUGAGACGCGAAAGCGUGGGGAGCAAACAGG